UUUCGGCUUUGCACGGGAAUUAAGGUCUUCCAGCGGGGAGCGAAAAUAGUGGGCGAUGACCGGCGUCGAUCCUGCGGACUGGAGAGAGGUGUUUCGCCCCCUUCGCCCGCGGCAGGUCGCCGAUGUCAACCGUGCCAGGACGCGGGCGCGCGCCCGGGAGAACCACCUCUCUCCCGCGUCUUGGAAAGAGAAGCUGUGACAAACCUAAAAAGACCCCAGCUUGUGGAACUCAUUGCCUAAAGAUUUUGUGGAGGUUGAAAACUUACUGGAAUUCAGAAUAGGAUAGAGCGUCAACAUAGUCAAUGAGAACGAGAGAGGCAGAACAGGAAGGAUGAAAAUAUUUUGGGAGGGAUACAAUCCUGCCUGCUUCGGGGCAUCAAUUGGCUUCCAACUAAUGGAGUUUAACUCGAAUCAAACAAAUAGUGCAGGACAUCAAGGAUUCAGCUUCAAACUUCAGGAAACAAAUGGAUAGGUUGCGCCACAACAACAAAAUGGGGUUUCUCAGCAUAGGCAUGCAGAAUUGCCCUUUCCUGACACCCAUGUCCACGGUAUAAUCCGUGCCAAACUACAUUAACAACAUAGCUGAUAGAUCCCAACAUUUUUGUGACAUGCAGUAGAGGUUUAAUAAAAGAGCUACCAAAUUAACAAGGGCCUUUUUUUUUUUUCGCAAGAAGUCUUUUUCUUCUUUUUUGCAUUAAGUUCCCUUCUGCAGUGGUUGUGCACACAGGAUGUUACACACAGUAUUGGAAGCCAGGGCUCCAGGUUUCUGUGCCUGGCUCUCCCACUAAUUUGUUGUAUGGCCUUGGCCAAUUCACUUAUCCUUUCUGAGCUAUUGCAUGCCCAGCUGUAAACUGAAGGCAGUAUUUACAGGAUAUCCUUCACUGGGAAUCUUAGUUAAUUUAGGCCCAAACCUGUACUAUGCAAUCCAAUGGGAAUUUAGAGAUGGGAAAUCUAGAGAUUUGAGGUUCUCAGCUUAAAAUUGUUAUAGUCUCAUUCCUGCUUACAACUUUAUUUUCUAGUUUUAAAACAGACCCUUCCCCUCUUCCAAUUUCCUUUUAAGAAGGAACCUGAAGUUUCAGCAGAGCGCUCUUUCGUGGAAUACAAAAAUAGCUUGACCACAGCAGUGGAAGGGGUGGAGGAAGUCUGCGAGAGGCCCUGCCACUCACCGUUAUUCCUCCAGCAUUUUGUUCCUGCAUAUCCAUUUCUGUCUUCUUUUUUAAUAAAACACAUACUGUAUUUAUAGAAUGAUAAAACAUUUCUAUAUAAGGCAGCAGCAACAGGAAGCUGGCUCGAAGCAGAAUUCCUAUGCUAAAAAAGCACCCAUUCCAGGAAGGCACCACUUCCAAGUGGGAUUUCUCCCACAUACCAACCCAUACCCACAUGCAGAAGCAGAGCAGCAGUGUAACAGUGCUUUUCUCCGAGAGAUGGUUGUCUGCCUGCGAUCCAGCGGGUAGGAACGCUGAUCCACUCCUGCAGGAAGAAGACAAGGCAGAUAAGAGCCUAGAGGGGAAAAAAGGGCAGAUGAGCCCGGAGGGAGGCAGCAGCAGUUAAAAAUAGAGAUGAAAAAUGAGAGAAGAGAAGGAAGAAGAAAGCAGGGAGAAAACUAGGAGCACUAAGGAGAGAAAAGAAAGGGAACAAAGACAAAGGGAAACCAUGCACCUAGGAAUGAGAGCUCUUGACAGUCCCUGACAGGAGUAAGUACCCCACGAAGGGCGGAGGAAAGUGCAACGCCUACCCCUACAUUUUUAGCAUCCUGUCUCUAUUGCUGUCAGUACAAUUAAGGCAUUUCUGGCCUAUCACAGCCUGUUACACAGGGUUACUUCCAGGUAAUGGACCACACAGAAAAGGGCUGGAUUAUUUGCGUUAAGGAAAGAAAGGUAUAGGAGGGGGGAAGGAAGGGAAGAAAAAAAAAAUUGAAGCCCAAGUAGAGUGGAAGGGGGAUUGCUUUUCAUUAACCGCUAUAAUGCCGCUAGUUUUCCAGAAAACAUUUUGGUCGAGGCUCCCUCAGCUCCUUACCAUCCC